rnacentral:rRNA from 1 species
AGAUUGAACGCUGGCGGCAGGCCUAACACAUGCAAGUCGAGCGGCAGCACGGGUACUUGUACCUGGUGGCGAGCGGCGGACGGGUGAGUAAUGCCUAGGAAUCUGCCUGGUAGUGGGGGAUAACGCUCGGAAACGGACGCUAAUACCGCAUACGUCCUACGGGAGAAAGCAGGGGACCUUCGGGCCUUGCGCUAUCAGAUGAGCCUAGGUCGGAUUAGCUAGUUGGUGAGGUAAUGGCUCACCAAGGCGACGAUCCGUAACUGGUCUGAGAGGAUGAUCAGUCACACUGGAACUGAGACACGGUCCAGACUCCUACGGGAGGCAGCAGUGGGGGAAUAUU